rnacentral:other from 1 species
GGUGACCCGGGGCCGGCACCGUUUCAUUUGGUCCCGACAGUCAAGACCAAGGGAGCUGUCCCUGUCAGUGGUGUGCAUGCCUGGUUUUACCAGGAAGCCUAAAGCUGACCAUACGGCGCCCACCUAAGAUUUUAGGGGUCCAUUUGACUUCGCCGGCCUCGGGUCUUUU